CGCACAUUGCGCCCGCCAGUAUUCUGGCGGGCAUGCCUGUUCGAGCGUCAUUUCAACCCUCGGACCCCCGGCUUGCUGGGGGACCGGCGUUGGGGCUCGGGCGUCCCUAGCGGCGUCCGUCCCUGAAAUACAGUGGCGGUCGCGCUGUGAUCCUCUGCGUAGUACUUACACCUCGCAGCCUGGAGAGCGGUGCGGCCACGCCGUAAAACCCCCUACUUUUUAAGGUUGACCUCGGAUCAGGUAGGAAUACCCGCUGAACUUAA
rnacentral:misc_RNA from 1 species